ACCCUUGCACACCCCAUGCCCCCGCCCUAUAUUCGCCCUGUCCGGAGCAAUCCGGACUAUGGGCAUAAACGCGCUCGUCAUAAGCGGAUCGGACCCGGGGGCGGUACCCGGCGGCUCCACCAAAACUCCCUCGUUGGGGGCGGAGGGGGCCGAAACAGGAUCGACGAACGUCUAAAGGGGUUGCUUUGUCCCGGUGAGGUACCACCGUUAUCGGUCCGAAAAGUACAGUUGCCAACGACAACCGUGCUCCGAUGGCUCUGGCUGCGUAAGCAGUUCGAGCGAUCGAAACUUAAGCCCUUGCGCUUAGCCGCGUAAGGCGGGGUUCGCAGGUACCUGGCAACAGAAACCUGCACU
rnacentral:tmRNA from 1 species